CUGCAUAGUAUCCUCCAUACGAUAUACCCACACCUGAGUGUGAGUGAGUAUGGUUUGACAUCUGACGGGCAUAAAAAGCAGAUACCACAUCCUGUCAAUUCAAGAUGACAGGGUACCUCCCUGUCACCUGACUGUCUGUCUGCUUUAUAGUGAGAGAGACGAUGAGACAAUGAUGAGAAAAGGAGGUUAAUCUUGACUUGAAAAAUGAAAGAAGUAACACUGAUACUUGUAUGUGGCAUCCUUCUUGUUGAAUGUGUUAUAGCUGGAAAUAUGUCAGUUGAUUUCACAAUCGACUAUAUUGAUUAUGAAGACCCAAACACCGCAUCUCUCAGUUACAUUGAAGACGAACCAACCUCCCCCUCUCCCUUCUUCACUGCUCAAGCCAGUGGGACUACUGGCCAAAAUAGAUCCAUUGAUUUCAUAUUGGAGUAUAAUUAUGACGAUUAUGCCAGUGGGAGUACUGGCCGAACCGCGGAGAAAACUGGAGGCUUGCUCACCCUCUUCUUGGUCUUUUGGAACAACUGGUGUUAGCUACAGGAACUCUAAAGCACAGGGUGUGACACUGCCUCUUGAUCCUGCCUCAAUAAACAUAAAGUGUGUUAAACAAAUAGGUUAAACACAGACAACAUUGUCUCUUUGAAGAAUGUAGAAGUUGUACGGGAGAUGUUUCAUGUUAGACCACUGCACUGCAACAGAUAUAGUAACACUUUCACAAGGUGAGGCUGUGAAACGAAACCCAAAAGUCAACUGAGACCAAAAGGAACUCUGGAACUCCUUUCAGCAAGAACUUUUCUAGAACACAUCACACCUGGACAGAAUUUACAAAAUGGACACUUAGAUCAGAAAAGGGUUCCAAUCAUAUGUAUGUCAAUGAGGCCCUAACCCAGUCACAGUUCACAUAUCCUGUGUAUGUGUGACUUAGUUGUGUGUAUUCUUGGUCUUGGGAAAUCCUUGGUGUUAAGUUUCACGUCUGAUAGCUGGGCAAUCUAGCCCAAAACAUUAUAAAAUGUCACAAUAAAUGUCACAAUGUUUAUCACGCUAAAAAUCAGUCCAUAUUGAUCAUAAUAGAUCAUUAACCUGUGAUUAUU
ensembl:lncRNA